ensembl:lncRNA
UUUUUUUUCAAUCUGCAGAUUGUUUUCAGCAUGCAAUGCAUCAGUGGGUUCCAAUGUUGUUUGGGUCCCAGCGUUCACUGGUAUAUCUUCUUUUGUGUUCAGCAGAAAUCAUACAGGCUUGGAAUGGCAUGAAGUUCUAUUUUAUUUUCAGAGACUGAGGGGAACCUGAGCCCUGAAAGCUGUCAUCUAAUUAAUCACAGCAAUCAAUGGAUGCUGCUUGGCUGGAUUUGUGUUGUGAGCUACCACGUACAUGCCAACACCUGUUCCCCAAGCAAAAAAUACCAGCUAACUGCAUACUGAACAUCAUAUACUGC